UACGUAGGGCGCAAGCGUUGUCCGGAAUUAUUGGGCGUAAAGAGCUCGUAGGCGGCCUGUUGCGUCCGCUGUGAAAUCCCGGGGCUCAACCCCGGGCGUGCAGUGGAUACGGGCUGGCUGGAGGCAGGCAGGGGAGAACGGAAUUCCUGGUGUAGCGGUGAAAUGCGCAGAUAUCGGGAGGAACACCGGUGGCGAAGGCGGGUCUCUGGGCCGUUACUGACGCUGAGGAGCGAAAGCGUGGGGAGCGAACAGG
rnacentral:rRNA from 1 species